GUGAACCAUCAACAAAUUACAGAGAAGCUGUGUUGCAGAUACUAUGGAAUGGUUCAAUCAUCAUACUUUCUCAAUUCCCAUGCUCACCUCUAUCAAGCAUGAUGAUUGAUCAUUCUACUAUGCAGAUAAGAAUCCUACAAACUUACUUUCAGCCUCCCUUGCAGCUAAUUGUAGCUUUCUGGUUCCAGACAAGAAAAUACCUGCAAUAAUCCUUGGGGAAGAAGAAACUGGCAAAAAAAUAAAGAGCAACGUCUUCCUAGGAGGAAACGUCCUUUGUAUUUCCUCUCAUUCUUUUACCUCCUUCUCCUUGUCUCUGAUGGGAACAUAGAUGUGAUAUCUAUAAUUGCAACAGUCAUCUGUGACCAUGAGAUGACAGCAAUGAGGACAAAAGCUAGUACAAAGGAAGGCAAAGCAGAAACAUGGAAUAACUUGGGUCCCUGAUGGUAUUUGGUUUGCCCUGGUCUUUAUAAGAUAAAAAGUCUCUGUGUGUUUCCUCUACUGUUAGGCUUUCUGUUUCUGUAGCCAUACCCAUGCCAAAUAAUGAACAAGGAAAUCAUCAUUUGAACAUAUACCCCAAGCGGUAUUUACUAUACUCUUGCUGCUCUUUUCCACCUUUAUUCAUUGAUCCAUUCAUUCAACAAAUAUCUGUUAAUGACCAUGACGGAGACUCUUGCAGGUGCUGGAGAUAUGAGAUAUGGUGAUGAACUAGAUAAACUUCCUGAGCUCCUAGUGAUGAGGUCUACCUUCUGGAACUUCAGGAUCUGCAAUAGCCUCUUCCAGAUGAGCCUCCUCUUCAUUCAAGAUGCACCUCCAGGGAGAGACCAGGUGGAGAUAAUUGAAUCAUAGUGGCAGUUUCCUCCAAGAUGUUCUUGUUUUGCGAUAUUGAGUUCUCACGAGAUCUGGUGGUUUCCCACUUCGUUCAGCACUUCUCCUUCCUGCCGCCUUGUGAAGAAGGUGCCUUGCGUCUCCUUCACCUUCCACCAUUGUAUGUUUCCUGAGGCCUCUCCAGCCAUGCUGAAUUGUAAGUCAAUUAAACCUCUUUUCUUUAUAAAUUACCCAGUAUUGGAAACUUCUUUAUAGAAGUAUGAAAACAAACUAAUAUACCUUGUCUCUACAAAAAUAAAAAAAACUUAGCCAGGUGUAGUGGCACAUACCUGUAGUCCCAGAUAUUCUGGAGGCUGAGACAGAACAAUCACUUGAGCCUGGAGGUCAAGACUACAGUGAGCCAUGAUUAUUCCACUGCAUUCCAGAAUCAGAGGGAGACACUGUCUCAAUUAAAAAAAGAAAGAAAGAAAGAAAAGAAAAGAAAACAUUUUAAAACACUAAGACCUAGACCUUGUGUAUCAUGUUCAAACACAGUAUAUUGCAGGGUAAAUAA
rnacentral:lncRNA from 1 species